GACGUAGGGCGCGAGCGUUGUCCGGAUUUAUUGGGCGUAAAGAGCUCGUAGGCGGCUUGUCGCGUCGAAUGUGAAAUCUCAGGGCUCAACUCUGACAUUGCAUUCGAUACUGGCAGGCUAGAGUUCGGUAGGGGAGACUGGAAUUCCUGGUGUAGCGGUGAAAUGCGCAGAUAUCAGGAGGAACACCGAUGGCGAAGGCAGGUCUCUGGGCCACUACUGACGCUGAGAAGCGAAAGCAUGGGGAGCGAACAGG
rnacentral:rRNA from 1 species